rnacentral:rRNA from 1 species
GACGAACGCUGGCGGCGUGCCUAAUACAUGCAAGUAGAACGCUGAAGAGAGGAGCUUGCUCUUCUUGGAUGAGUUGCGAACGGGUGAGUAACGCGUAGGUAACCUGCCUUGUAGCGGGGGAUAACUAUUGGAAACGAUAGCUAAUACCGCAUAACAAUGGAUGACCCAUGUCAUUUAUUUGAAAGGGGCAAAUGCUCCACUACAAGAUGGACCUGCGUUGUAUUAGCUAGUAGGUGAGGUAACGGCUCACCUAGGCGACGAUACAUAGCCGACCUGAGAGGGUGAUCGGCCACACUGGGACUGAGACACGGCCCAGACGCCUACGGGAGGCAGCAGUAGGGAAUCUUCGGCAAUGGGGGCAACCCUGACCGAGCAACGCCGCGUGAGUGAAGAAGGUUGUCGGAUCGUAAAGCUCUGUUGUAAGUCAAGAACGAGUGUGAGAGUGGAAAGUUCACACUGUGACGGUAGCUUACCAGAAAGGGACGGCUAACUACGUG